rnacentral:lncRNA from 10 species
AUAUAUAUAUAUAUACAUACAUAUAUAUGUAUAUAUACACACACACACGUAUAUAUAUACACACACAUAUAUGUAAAUUUAAGAAAAUUUCUGAGCUAAAAUUAACCUUGUUCUAUCAGGAAAGUUCAACAUAUCAAAGAACGUUUACUUAAUCAAAAUCUCAGGUUGUCAAAUGAUUUAUACAUGGACACCUAAAUUCCAGGUCAUAUAUCUGAAUGCAUGAAAAUUAUUUUAAAAGGUCUUCCGUAAUUCAGAUCCUUCACAAAUUCAGAUGUACUUUUUUUUUUUUGAGACAGUGUCUCUUUUUAUUUUUUUUUUUGAGACUCCAUCGCCCAGGCUGGAGCGCAGUGGUAUCAUCUCAGCUCACUGCAACCUCCGCCUCCCUAGUUCAGGUGAUUCUCCUGCCUCAGUCUCCCAAGUAGCUGGGAUUACAGACGCCUGCCACCACACCUGGCUAAUUUUUCUAUUUUUAUUAGAGACGGGGUUUCAUCAUUUUGGCCAGGCUGGUCUCAAACUCCUGACCUCAGGUGAUCCACCUGCCUCGGCCUCCCAAAGUGCUGGGAUUACAGGCAUGAGCCACCGCACUGGGCCUCAAAUGUACUUUUGACACAGUUAUUACAGUCAAUACAAUUCACUUUCUAUGUAGUAGUACAGUAAACAACAUUGAAAAAAAAGGUUGUUGCUCUUUGGUUAGUUUUUGUUUCUUGGGUUUUUUUUUUUUUUUUUUUUAAGUCAGGGUCUCACUCCCAGGCUGGAGUGCAGUGGUGCAAUCUCAGCUCACUGCAAUCUCUGCCUCCCAGGCUCAAGAGAUCCUCCCACCUCAGCCUCCGUAGGAGCUGGGACUACAGGUGUGUACCACCACGCCCAGCUAAUUUCUAUACUUUUUGUGGAGAUGGGAGUCUCUCCAUGUUGCCCAAGCUGGUCUCAAACUCCUGGGCUCCAGUGAUCUGCCUGUCUUGGCCUCCCAAAGUGCUGGGAUUACAGGCGUGAACCACGUGCCCGUCCCCAAAAAUGGUUUUAAAUACAUCCAACGUAUCAUCCUCCCUCUUUAACUGCACUCAUUAAAUUACGUUUCUUCAUUUCAAAAAGGGAAUUCAUCAUUCCUCUCCUUCCACUCCAUGCCCUAAAACCCUUAACUAGCCUAAAGCCUCUCCUCAAUAGGUAGAAGAGAUCUCUAAACAUGUGCCAUUAUAAACCCUAAAUUUUUUCAAUAAAUAGCCAGAGAUUAAACUCUAAUCCAAAAGUAAAAUCUUCUCUGUGUAACUAAAUGAAAAUAUCCUAAAGCAAGCUUCUCCAACCAGAGGCCCAGGAUGACUCUGAAUGUGGCCCAACAAGAAUUCGUAAACUUCUUAAAACAUUGAGAUUAUUUUGCCAUUUUUUUAAAGCUCAUCAGCUAUCAUUAGUGUUGGUGUAUUUUAUGUGUGACCCAAGACAAUUCUUCCAAUGUGGCCCAAGGAAGCCAAAAAAUUGGACACUCCUGCCCUAAGGUAUCAAUACUAUUUAAGGUACCAUUAUAAGCGACAAAAUACAAAAUAACAUCUGAAAAGAGAUGGUAGCAAUGUAAAACAUGAUGGUGAGGCGAAAGAUUACAUAGAAAAGUUUUAUUGCAUAGAAUGUAAAUUAUAACAAUAUCUCAUCUAUAAGCUAAUUUCCAAAUUACUAAUUAAUCCCUGAAGAAAAAAAUGUACUUUCAACUAAACAUCUGAGAAUCUACUUUGUAUCAGGAACUGUUCUAAGUAUUUGGAACACAACACACACCUUACGCUCGAAGACAGAUUAAAGGCUAGGAGGUAACAGAAAUGUAAACAAACCACAACCCACUGUGAUAUAACAAUGCAUAAGUAAUCAUGUAUGAAUAGAGCAGAAACAAAGGUAGCUUCACAGAGAAAAGUGAAUGCCUGAGUAAAGUUCUGAAGGAAGAAUAAAUGUGCCUAGAUAGGAAAAUAUGAGAUGGAAGUAUGUAGUAUAGGUUAGGGGAAAACUAUGUAUACAGACAUGAUGGUGUUUAGAGGAAACCACAAGUAUGCAGUUCACCAUUAGCAGAAGGUGAAGUUUGAGAACAAAAGAUGAAGCUUGAAUGCAAUUUUUAAAAAGUAUUGGCCAGGCACGGUGGCUCACGCCUAUAAUCCCAGCACUUUGGGAGGCUGAGGCGAACGGAUCAUGAGGUCAGAAAUUCGAGACCAGCCUGGCCAACAUGGUGAAACCCUGUCUCUACUAAAAAUACAAAAAUUAGCUGGGUGUGGUGGCAGGCGCCUGUAAUCCCAGCGACUCAGGAGGCUGAGGCAGGAGAAUCUCUUGAACCCAGGAGGCGGAGGCUGCAGUGAGCUGAGAUGGUGCCGCUGCAGUGAGCUGAGAUGGUGCCACUGCACUCCAGCCUGGGUGACAGAGACUCAGUCUCAAAAAAAAAAAAAAAAAAAGUAUUGUUUUAGUGCCAAGCACAGUGGCUCAUGCCUGUAAUCCCAGCACUUUGGGAGGCAGAGAUGAGAGCACUGUUUGAGCCGACUUCAAGAUCAGCCUGGGCAACACAGUGGGACCCCAUCUUUACAAAAAAUGAAAAAAGGAGCCGGGUAUGGUGGCCCAUGCCUAUAGUCCCACCUACUCUGGAGCCUGAGGUGGGAGCAUCGCUUGAGCCCAGGAGGUCAAGGCUGCAGUGACAUGUCUCAUCUCUCAAAAAAAAAUUAAAAUAAAUAAGUAAAUAUAAACAUAUUGUUUCCUAAGCUAAGGAAUCUGAGGAUCAUUCCAUGGUAAAGAAUAAAUGACAAAAUCAGAUUUGUAUUUUAGAAAGGAAGGUCUGUGGCAGUGUGGAGGAAGAAUUGGGGAAGAGGGAGUAAAAGUGGAAAUAGGUCGACAAAUUAGUGGACUCUGGCAGUAGUCUAGGUUAGGGUUUCUCAACUUCAGUACUACUGACUUUGGAUAAUUCUUUCUUGUGGGGGGCUGUCUUGUGCAUUGUAGGAUGUUUAGCAGCAUCUCUAUCCUCCCACUAAAUACCACUAAGCACCAAGUACCCAGUUGUAACAACCAAAAAUGUCUCCAGAUAUUACCAAAUGUUCUCUGGGGGUAAAAAGACACAACUGCCCUGGCUACGAAUCACUAGUCGAGAAAGAAGGAUAUGAACUUGAGGCAAUAAUAACAGAAAUAGAGAACUAGUGAAAGCUUACUUGUGGCAACAUCUGGUAGGUUAAAAACCACUAUUGGUGAUUAACUGGAAGCAGGUGCUAAGGGAAAGGAAGAGGUUAAAGAGAAGAUCAGAAAAUAAACAGGGCAAACACAAUUUUAAGGGAAAUAUUUAUUUACUAAAGUUUUUUCAGUUCUUUAAGAUCCAAGCCCCUCCUUCAGAGCAAACAAAAGCACCAACUCCUCUUCCCUUCCGAGCUUCUAGAAAUCCUUACCUAGACCAACCUUAUGAACACAGUGGUCCCCCAAAAAAGGUAAAUUCCCUUAUUGAUCCUCUAUUCUUGAUAGCCUGACCAGUCCCAUCUUGCUGGUUAUUAUGAAAUAAAAGCAUUUGAAAAUGCCACAUCCUAUUGAUAACCAGCUUUUGUGCUCCACACGUGUAAGUUAACAUUGUAUAACAAAAUUCCCAAUCCCCUUGAUAUAGUUUGGCUGUGUGUCCCCACCCAAAUCUCAUCUCAAAUUAUAUUAAUAAUGCCCAUGUGUUAAGGGAGUGACUGAAUCAUGGGAGUGGUUUCCCCCGUGCUAUUCUCGUGAUAGUGAGUGAAUUCUCACGAGAUCUGAUGGUUUUAUCACUUACCAUGAUUCUAAGUUUCCUGAGGCCUCUCAGCCAUGUGUAACUGUGAGUCAAUUAAACCUCUUACCUUUAUAAAUUACCCAGUCUCGGGUAUUUCUUUAUAGCAGUGUCAAAAUGGACUAAUACACCCCUUUUCCCGUGGUAAAACAUCCAGCAGAGGCCAGGCACAGCAGCUCACACCUGUAAUCCUAGCACUCUGGAAGGCCAAGGCAGGAGGACUGCUUAAGGCCAGGAGUUCAAGGACCAACCUGGGCAACAUAGUGAGAACCCCCCAAUCUCUACCCCCACCCCCGCCAAAAAAUUUUUUUAAUAAGCCAGGUGUGGUGGUGUGCCUAUAAUUCCAGCUAUUCAGGAGGCUGAAGUGAGAGGAUCACUUUAACCCAGGAAUUCAAAGCUGCAGUGGGCUAUGACUGUGCCACUGCACUCUAACCUGGCCAACAGAGUGAGGCUCUAUCUCAAAAAACAAACAAAUUGGCCAGGUGAGGUGGCUCACGUCUGUAAUCCCAGCACUUUGGGAGGCCGACGCGGGCGGAUCACCUGAGGUCAGGAGUUCCAGACCAGCCUGGCCAACAUGGUGAAACCUCAUCUUUACCAAAAAAUACAAAAAUUAGCCAGGCGUGGUGGUACGCGCCUAUAAUCCCAGCUACUCUGGAGGCUGAGGCAGGGGAAUCACUUGAACCCGGGGGGCAGAGUUUGCAGUGAGUCAAGAUUGUGUCAUUGGACUCCAGCCUGGGUGAUAAGAGCAAGACUCUGUCUCAAAAGUAAAAUAUCAAAACAAACAAAAAAGCUCAAGGCUUGAAUAAAAGUUUUCAAGAAGAAAAGGUUUGAAAAUAUAUUCUAGAGUAGCACUUCUCAAACAAUAGUGAACACAGAAAUCUUCCAGGGAUCUUGCUAAAAUAAAAGAUUAUGAUUCGGUAGGCCUUAGAGCGAGGUCUAAGAAUCUGUGUUUCUAAAGACGCUCCCAAGACUGCAGAUGCUCCUGGUCUGGUGAUCGCACUUUGAGUACUAAAGUUCUCAAUAACGUCAGAGAGAUCUGGAGAAGAAAUAACUAGUGAUACAAACAGAAAUUGGAGUCACUCCUCAAAAUGAAAAGGGGUAGGGGUUUAAAAAUUCAGCAUCGCAAGUCCUUGUAGCUCCUUGCCCCCUUGGAGCUUGAUCUUAACACUGAGAGUUUUUUUGUUUUGUUUUGUUUUUUUGUUUUGAGACGGGGUCUCACUCUGUUGCCCCAGGCUGGAGUGCAGUGGCAUGAUCUCGGCUCACUGCAACCUCUGCUUCCUGGGUUCAAGCCAUUCUCCUGGCUCAGCCACCCAAGUAGCUGGGAUUACAGGCACCCACCACCACAUCUGGCUAAUUUUUGUAUUUUGAGUAGAGAUGAGGUUUCACCAUGUUGGCCAGGCUGGUCUUGAACUCCUGACUUCAUGAUCCACCCGGCGUGGCCUCCCAAAGUGCUGGGAUUACAGGCGUGAGCCACCACGCCUGGCUAACACUGAGAGCUUUUAAGAUCACUAUUUGUAGCCCUCAAAGCCCUAGCUUUUCCAAAAACCUUUGCCCCACUUCAUAAAAGCCAGUUCCAGUGGUUUAGGGCUAAGGGAAGUCCACUCUCAUUACAAGGGAGGUAAGCCUCUAGACUCACUAUGUCAAAGGAAAGAACAGAAGGUAAUUUUAGGACACACAUGUAUAUUUUUUCAUUCCUUGAUUUACUCAACAUUUCAGUAUAAACUUCUCUAUCAUUCUUAAAAAUAAAAUGAUCAAGAAGAUCUAUUCUCUUCUCCCAAAAAGUUCAGAGUGCAGCUAGAAGAACAAUCUAUAAAUACCAGCACUUGUAUAAAAAAUGUAGUUAAAGCUACUAAGUAACAGACCAAUUCUCAGAGCAUUUAAUUCUUUUGGUAAUUGCAAAACAGCACCAUCUCCAAAAUGCCUCACAUUAUCAGUCACAUGUUAUUACAUAUCAUGGUCUACUCAUUAAUAAUAAACUAGAGAAAACUGUUGCUUCAGGACAAAAAGUUUCCAAUGCCGUGAAUUAUAAAAACCUCCUUUGAACAUCAAAAACAUAAUCACUGUGUAAUCAUUUCACUAUUUACACUCUGAAACAAUGUAAUUUUUUUCUUUUUCUUUUUUUUUCUAGACAGUCUUCUGUUGCCCAGGCUGCAGUGCAGUGGCCCAACUAUAGCUAAUUGCAGCUUCAAACCCCUGAGCUCAAACGAUCCUCCCACCUCAGUCUCCCACAUAGCUGGCACUAUGCGUGCACACCACCAUGCUCCAUUAACUGUUUAAAAUUUUUUGUGGAGACCAGGUCUUGCUAUAUUGCCUAGGCUGGUCUCAAACACCUGGCCUCAAGUGAUUAACCACUAAUCAUUAAUGGUAUAAUUUGAUAUUUAAUUCUUAUAAUUGCAGAUAUGCUAAAGUAUCAGGAUAUUUAAUGAACAGAAAGAAGCUCAUUAGGAGUCAGAGGAGGUUGCAAAAAAAAUGCAGGCUUAUUUUGAAAUAAAUAUAUAAUAAAUCCUAGGCCAGAGAUUUCUCAAUUGAUGUACCUAAGACCCUUAGGAGUGUCAGGAGAUAGGCUGCUGAGUUGAUGCUGUAAAAGAAAAUAAAUUCAUAUACUCGUUUAAGCAGUGUCUGAAAAGAGAUAUUUCACAUUUGUAUACUACUAUUUUUCAAGUUUGUAAAGAUGUUCUGAUUAAUAAAACAUAGAUCAUUUUAAAGUGUCAUUUAAAUCAUUCAUUGGGCCAGGUGAGGUGGCUCAUGCCUGUAAUCUCAGCACUUUGGGAGGCUGACACAGGAGGAUCACUUGAGACCAGGAGUUCAAGACCAGCCUGGGCAACAGAGUGAGACCCAGUCUCCACAAGAAUUUAAAAAAUUAGCUGGGCAUGGUGGCAUGUGCCUGUAGUCCCAGCUAAGUUGGGUAGAUGAGACAGGAGGAUCACUUGAAGUCGGAGUUUGAACCAGCCUGGGAAACAGGGCAAGACACUGCCCCUCAAAAAACAAAAAUACGUAAAAAAUGAGAAAAAUAAAUUAUAUCAAACACAGCAGAACAUAAUUUACAUGUAUAAACACAUAUACACGUAUUUGUAGCUUCUGCUAUGAGUCAGGUCAUUGAGGGGGACAAACAUUAUCUACAUAGUAAUUUAAGGAAGUCUACAAAGCAGUCUUUACUUAUGUUCUUAAAAUCUCAGUGUUACAAAGGGAUUUUAUGCUACCAAAAAUAAAAUCAGUUGGAAGACCUUGCUAUGCAAGGGCACAUUCAAUUUCUAAAGAACUGGAACACCAACUGCAACUUCUUAUAUCCUUGUGCUUUAGACUGGAACCACAAUACGUACCAGAUAUAAAGAAAUAAAAUAGCAUGCCAAAGUUAAUAAAAUAUUUUGAGUGAAAAAAAUUGUUGUAUUUUUUUGAGACAGGUUCUUGCUCUGUUUCCCAGGCUGGAGUGAAGUGGUGCAAACACGGCUCGCUGCAACCUCAACCUCCUGGGCUUAGGUGAUCCUCCCACCUCAGUCUCCCAAGUAGCUGGGACUACAGGCGUGCACCACCAAGUCAAGCUCAUUUUUGUAUUUUUUGUAGAGACAGUGUUUCGCCAUGUUGCCCAGGCUGGUCUCAAACUCCUGGACUCGAGUUAUCCACCCACCUCAGCCUCCCAAAGUGCUGGAAUUAAAGGUGUGAGUCAUCUCACGAGGGCUUUUUCUUUUUAAAGACGGGUCUUACCAUGUUGCCCAGGCUAGUCUCAAGCAAUCCUCUUGCCUCAUCUUCCCAAAGUGGUGAUAGUACAGGCAUGAGCCACCAUGCCAGGCCAGUUUUAUUUUUUUAAACAAGAAAGUUAUUUCCAUGAUAAUCUAUCAAUUGUAAUGAUCAUUAAAGUUUUCUAUCAAUUUCAGUCCCUUACCAAAUGCAUUCAUUAUAUUAACAGUCUUGUUCUGUUGUCCAGGCUGGAACACAGUGGCCCGAUCACAGCUCAUUGCAGCUUCAAACCCCUGAACUCAAACCUCCCACCUCAGUCUCCCAUGUAGCUGUCACUAUGUAGCUGCCAGAAUGUCUACUGGCUUCUUAGCAAAAGGUUUCCAUUUUAUUUAACUUGUAUGUGUACACUUUUUCAGAAAUGAGUUUUAUUAUAAUUGAAUUUAAACAAAGAUGGUAAAUAAUGAAAAGUCGUCUUGUACAUAAUUAGAUAAACAAACUUUUAAAUUGCAGAUCAUAAAUAGGAGACUAUAACAAUAACUACCAUUUGACAAGUACAAGGCAUUAUAAACACUAUAUCCAUUAAUGUAUUUAAUUCACAUAAUUCUGGGACAUAGCGCCUAUUUUAUACCAACUUUACAGAUGAUAAAAGUAAGUCUGAGAGAAGGUUAAAAUAACUUGCCUAUUAUCUCAAAAUUAACAUAGGGUCAGGUUCCAACAAUUGUACUCUUAACUAUAACAUCUCAUAUCCAACUCAAAGAAAUCAAUUCCACAUUCUGUAAUACUCCUUAACACAUUACAAUCUUAAUGUCAUUCUAGCUAAACCUAAGAUAACAAAAUACAUAUACCCAAAUGAAGAAAUAUUUUUGUAUUUAAUUAGCAUGGAUGGAAUCAAUGAGAACUGAUAAAGACUUCAUUCAAAUAACUAGAAUUUAAAAGUUCUCCUUCCCCGUUUUCAAAAUACAAGGACAACAAAUCUUGGGAAUAAAACAGAGUUGGGGAAAACCACACGGUUUUGGUUACAUUUAAUUUGGAGCUUAGGCUAGCAUGUUUGUGGAUGAGAAUUUUAAGUUCACCUUUACUAAUUCAUUCCCCAUACCUACCUCCUAGGAAAAUAGGGAUGAGCUAUCAAUAAUGCUAGGCCCCUAAAUAUCAGCUACUACACUUCGCAAAUAGAAUGACCAGAGUGUAAAGAAGCCAACCAGCUAACCUUAGAAUGAUCUACUAGUUUGUAGGUUCAAGAGAUAAAUGCACCAUGGUUUUACUUAAACUACCAUUACUGUGUAUAAGAACUCAAAAUCUUCAAAGCUAUAAAAUUAGAUGAUGAGUACAGCCAACAGUAUUACAAACUGUAUAUAAAAGGCAUAAAAAAAUUUCAGUUCACGUUUAAAUAUGAUAAAGCAUCAAACACCAUACUACCACACACACCUUUAAAAAAAAAGGCUUCCAAAACAAACUCAUGAGAGCUCUUUUUAAAAAUCAAUCAACAGAACAAAAUUCUCCUACAAUCAUGAAUUUGGAGGAAGUUUUCUGGAUUAAACAAAAACAAAUGGUCGCUGCACACAAAGUGCCAAUUAAAAUAAAGUACAGGAAGUACAUGGUUGAACCUCACACUUGUUAAAACAAAAUUUAAUCUGUUCUUUCCAAAGUACAUCUUUAUCUCAACCCAAUCCUGGAAACUCAACCACGAAUACUCUUUACUUAGCAGGAAAGAAAAGUCAACUCUCAAAGUCUUUCUCUAUAAGAACUACCAUAUUUUUAGCAAGUUUCAAUCUAAUGUUACUUGUAUAUUUUAAGAAAAGAAUAGACUGAGACUGGAGAUAACCAACAGGAAGAACAUUCAAGCCUACCAGUUAAAAAGCAGAGAAAAGAGAGAACACAUAGCCAUUUACUAAGGGAAACUGAUUACUAGAGAUCAUUCACAAUAAAAAUCACAGUGUAUUCAAAUUAAUUAUAUAAAAACAAGGACGGCCCUUUAUAUUCGAAUUACUAACUCAUUAGAGCAGAGAUUUCCAUGUUAUUUUAACAAAAAUUGGCUUAAUAUUUUGCUAUUUUAAACAUAGUAUGAGAGAAACAGAGUAAGCAUGACAUUUCAAAACUGACAGCAUAAAUUACUUGUGAAAUUCAAGACCAAUAACAAAAUGGAGGGAAACUGUAACAUGUGACAGAAGAGAUUUACAUCUCUAAUGUACAAAGACCUCUUACAAUGAAUUUAAAAAAUAGCCCAAUAGGAAAUGAGAAAAGGACAUAAAAUAACACUAAUGACCAAUAAACAUAAAAGAGAAGUCUACAACACCAUCAAAUUUAAAUGAAGUUUUUUGCCUGUGAAAUUACAAAAAUAUUAAAGAUUUUUAUAGCCCAGUGUUUUCAAGACUGUAGAAAAACCAGCCCCUAUUAGUUGGAAUAUAAUUUGUGCUACAUUUCUGAAAAGUUGUCUGUCAAUUAUAAAAAAUUCAAUUGUCUAUUCUUGCCCCAGAAACCAUUUUGACAGAAAUUUACAUUGAAAAAAAUCACUUAAGUGGAAAAAGAAGCAGGCAUAAGGUUAAACGAUGUUUUAUCUCCUCCUCUCCAUAUUACCAGUGGCCUAUUUUUCACCCUAGAGUAAACUCAGUCAACUUACCCUUCUCAUAUUGCCCUAUGUAAUUUAUAUUAUUCUAUGCAAAUUACUUGAUCUCUCAAACUUCUAUUUCCCAAAACAGAAAAAAUAAUCUCUCCCAAAGAACUGUUGAUGUAACUAAAUGAUAUGAUAAAAUAUAAAACAUUUAAUUUAUAAAAUAAUUAUUUAGGUUUACCAUAUUAUCUGGAACAAAUACGGAAAAUCAUCAUUCAUAUAAAUAAAAUCAAGUUUCUAUCUGUCUGCAAUUAUGUUGCAAGAAACCCCCAAUGGAUUUUCACAUGAUCUGGAGGACAUGUUUGAGAAGCUAACAGGAAGAAGUUUCUGUGAGGAAGAAGGCAAAAAAUUAAUACUGGGGGAGGAGGAGGCCUGAACAUCUCAAAGAAAAGGUAGACAUCCUCAGAGCAGCUACAGAACCACGUUUCCAGAGGACAAUUUUAGUACAGCCUGAUACAGAGUGAGUAGCCAGGGAUACUUAAUUAACAACAGUUAACAAUUUCCAAGCAAAGUUCAAAAUUUGACCAACACCACUUACUACCUACUACCAAUAAUAGUCAACACUUCUGUGCCAGGCAACAUGUCCCAUUUAGUCCUGAAAACAACCUUACUUACUAGGUACCACAUUCUCAUUUUGCAAAUGAAGAAACAAAAAGGUUUACUAAGUUGAAGACACAAAGAUAAUCAGUGAAGCAACACUAAUUCAAUCCUGACUGCCUCGCAUCUAACUCUAAACCCUAAAGCCUUAACCACUAUCCAACACUGCCGUGUUAUUAUCAUUCCUGCUGUUUGUUCUUUGAAAAAUUAAAAUUCUCCAAGAGGCUCUGAGUAAGCUAUAAACAGGAACCACACAUGGGUGUCUUCCCCAUACCCCGAACUUGGACUCCAAUAACUGUGUCAGUUUCCAAAGGAAAACAUAUCUCUAAGCCUAAAAGCUCUCCUAAACUUGGCUUAGGCUGAGAUGGCACACAUUCCCUCCUCCAUCUUGACAAGCGGAGGUGAAUGAAUGUUUAGUGAUUUCAGAGCAUAAUAGUUCUGAGGGCAUUAAUUUGGAAUUCUCGCCACAAUUUUCCAGAAACAUUAGUGAACAAUACUCAAUGGGUAAAAGAUAAUGAUGUGGCUUACUGGAAAUCUAAAUACCAAGUAAAACAUUAUUUCUUUGAGAACAUACAUAAAGAACCUAAAAACAGUCAUUUUACAGAUUAAAUUUAGAUUACAAUCUCCUUUAAAAUUUUAGUUAUUUUUCAAUGUCUUCUCCAUUUUCUCCUUUAUUUUUUCUGACAUCAAUACUUGAUUCAAUAUGCAAAAAAGGCCUAGCUUAACCAUCAGAAGGAUUAAGAUUUACAUUCCAAAUUGUCUAUGCUAUACUCAGAUUAAUUUCUCCAAAUUUACUUUAUCUUUUUCCAUAGAAGAACUCUACCGUAAAUAUGCUCUAGUCUUUGUUAUUCCAUAUUUGCUUGCCUAGAAUAGAAAUAAUGUAAAAAUCAUUUUUCAAAGGAAGACUUUAGAAUAAAAAUGCUAUAAGAAAACUUUUAAAUGUCAAGUUAAUCAGAAAACAUAAAAUAUUUAUCAUCAGUAAGUUUUGUAACAGAGAGAGAUGGGUGCUCUUAAGAUAAACAACAGUGCAAAAGGGAGACCCAAGCUAGGUUCAAACAAAGAAGAAAGCGGAGAAAAGUACUGCUGGUGAAUUUUUCUCUCAAGCAGAAUAAUCCAGAACUGUACCUCUAGCAACCACAUCUCCUCAAAAAUAAGCUAUCAGCAGACGAACCAGCCAGCUCCCUUUGGUCCCACUUCCCUAGUCCUAACAAAAAGCUUUAAAAGCAAGAACAGAAGAGAUAAACAUGAUACUUCAAAAGUCUUUGCCUCCUAACCCCAAAGAAUUUAACUUGUUAUUAAAACUUAAAAAAAUUUACAGAAGUGAAAAUCUGUUAUCUCCGUAUUAAAAAUAUAAUACAAAUAUCCACAUAAAACCGCAUAUUGACUGAAACAACAUACUAAAGUAAACCAAAGAAAUAUAAACGAUGGGUAUAAACCAAAGAAAUGGAAGAAGUAGGGGGAAGCUGAAUAAAAAUGUGACUAGGUGAAUAAAAAAAGAAGAUGAAGAAGGGCAAUAGCCCAGAAAGAUAUAAAAGGAGAAAGCCAAGCUGACACAAAUUUGAAAGAUUUCUCAUUUUGCCUGGGAUUUGCCUCAAUCAUACAUGGUUGCCCUACAUAAACACUUCUAUCUUAGCAAGAAUCAUCAGCAAGAUAUCAUAGCACUGAAUCACUUCAUUUAUGAAUAUCUGUAUUCCAAUAUCUAACUCUGUUGUAAAGAUAUUUUGUUCCCAAAUAAUUUCUCAUUGGAAAUUUUAAUGCUUGUCUAGAUCACAUUUGUGAUUCAGUGACUCUCAAAACUACUUCUUUUCAUAACAGUGGUCAAAUUUAAUUUUAUCUAUCUUGCUAUUAAGGUUUACUCAUGUAAUAAUCUCUUGUAUAUUAACUCCUAUUUUUAACAAACCUCAAAUAAUGGUUACUUUUUCUCUCUAUAAAAUUAGGCAUUCCUAAUGUGACAAAUAAAAGAAAAUCAGUGCUUCUCAAACAUCAAAAAAGAUCACUUUUUAAAAAAUCUCCUAUAAAUCAUGGUCCUAUAAUUUUGUAAAAUAAAGAUAAUUAGAAAAAUGAUUCCAUAUUCGAAUGUCACAGUAUUAUCAAAUUGUUAUAGAAGUCUCUAGACAUUUAUUUUCAGUGUUUAUCUCCUAACAGACAAUUCACAGACUAGCACUGGUCCCAUGACACAUUAUGAGUAGUACUGCCCUAAGGCAUACAUUCUCACCACACAACUCUUCAGGAAGUUUCUCACAUAGUUAACAACAAUUAUACAGCCUAGAUAUAUGGCUGUGACCCUUCUGUACUUUGUUUUGUUUUGGGCCUUUUUUUUUUUUUUUUUUUUUUUUGAGACAGGGUUUUGCUCUGUCACACAGUGCAUUAGAGUGAUCACGGCUCACUGCAGCCUCCACCUCCUGGGCUCAAGUCAUCCUCCCACCUCUCAUCCUCCCGAGUAGCUGUGACUACAGGCGUUCACCACCACUCCUGGCUAAUGUUUUUGGCUUUUAGUAGAGACCAGGUCUCACUACAUUGUCCAGGCUAGUCUUGAACUCCUGACCUCAAGUGAUUCUCGAGCCUCAGCCUCCCAAAGUGCUGGGAUUACAGGCAUGAGCCAUUGUAACAGACUGUACUAUUUUUCACAUCCCACAUUUCCCUUGAAGUUCCUAAAGAUACUAAGGGGCCUCAGCCGUAUUUCUUAGUUUAUCUAUGAUUCUCAGAAUGAAGAAGAAUUAGAGUUUACUAAAGCUCCUACCUCUAUCACCUGUAAGCAAGCAUACCUUUUGCCUAGGUAUCUUUGCCUCUAUACAUUCCUCAUCCACAAAAAACCCAAUUCAAAACAUCUUUUCUCCAUAAAUUCUUCAGGAUCUAGAGAAUUCUUUGCUACCUAGCAAUCAUCAAAUAUUUAAAUUGGCACUAAUUAAUAUGCUGCUGAGUAAAUGUUCCCUUGUAGGUUCAUGUAUUGCAUCUCCAAUUAGAUUUAAGGGAAAAAAAAAAACUCAGUCCUUCAUUUUCAAUUUGUCCACAUAGCAUAUAGUAAAACUGCCUACUAUAAAAAUACCUGACUAUUCUGACCCCAGUAAAUCACAUAAUCCCACAGGCAAAAGUUAGCAUAUCUGGCUCAGAGACUGGCCCAACUGAGAUUUUCAGAAAAUAAUUUACCUCACUAGCUAUGAAAUAGUGGUAAGCAUAGUUUAAUUAUUUGUUCUCCUAUAUCACUGUAAAACAAAAUACCACUAAGUAAUCAUGCUAGCCUGCUGAGAUAAAUUUGGAAUUACAAUAUUCAUAUAAUUUUGAGUUACUUCCACUAAAAUUACUUCGUUAAACAGACAUUUUUUCAUAUGCCUUUAAUUCACUAUGUGUAAUAUGUCAUACUCCUAUGCCAAGAGUAUUUCUAAUGUAAAGAGAUUUUGAGAUUUGAAACCUUCUCAACUCAACCAUUAACAAUUUUAAAAUAUAUGCAACCUGUACCCACAAAGAUUCUAACUAUAUUGCUCACUACUGGAAAAACUCUGUGUCUGUAGAUUACACAUCAUUUUAAAUAUAAAUGGCAAGAAAAUAUAGUCCUUCAAGCUAUAUGAAUAUAUGAACCACAAAUUUCUAGGUAGAAACUGACAUAUGGAUGCUUUCAAUUUAGACAGACAUUAAGUUUUAGAGAUGAAGGACACCACAGCAACUAUGGUAAUGAUGAGGUCAUGCUCUUCAUUUCACAGAUGGGAUGAUUACAGCCUAGAAAGUUGGCCAUAGGUCACAAAAUGGGAGAUCCAGGGCCUCAAAUAUCACAGUAGAGUGCUCAUUUUUCUAUAUUAGUCUGCUUCCAUUGGAUAUAUUCUAAUAUCUCUCCAAAUAUUUAGGUCACAUUUCUACUAACAUUAUUUUCAAAUUUCUAGUAACAUUUCUAGUAACAUUUUAUUGUAUUAAAAUAAAUUAUAAAAAGAAUAGGUACUAUAUAUUCUCAAUUUCUAAUAAUUUUUAUUAUUUUCUCAAAAGUAAAUGUCAGGAGCUCUAAAUCAUAUAUUUCCACUUUAAGACACAUCCCACUAACCUCUUAUAUUAGAAAUACUUUUAAACAUUAAUUUGUCAUUCUAGUUUUACUUUCUACUCGUAUGUCUGAAAUGCUAGUUAUUAACUGAUUUUUUUUUUUUUUUGUCUGAGACAGGGUCUCACUCUGUUGUCCAGACUGGAGUGCAGUGGCAUGAUCUUGGCUCACUGCAGCCUCAACCGCCCAGGCUCAAACGACUCUCCCACCUCAGCUGCGACUGCAGGUGUGUACCACCACACCUGACUAAUUUUUUUUAUUUUUAUAAGAGAUGGGGUCUUGGUAUGUUAUACAUACUGGUCUCAAACUCCUGGGCUCAUGCAAUUCUCCCGCCUUGGCCUCCCAAAGUGUUGGCAUUAUAGGCCUGAGCCCCUUGCCCAGCCAAGUUAACUGAUUAUUUUAUAAAUGAGAAAAAGUGAUUAGGGAAUACCUAAGAAAAUUUAAAGACUUUCUGUUUUCCCAUAAAAAGCUCCAGAUAACUUGAUUUCCAGGUUGUAUUCGCUUUUCAGCAUUUUACUGCUUGCUUCCACAUUGUUAGGCUUUGUCUAUUGUCCUGGGUCUGUUUCUGUCCAACUCUAUUAUUACACUGCUAACAUACGGAUUUAGAAACCAAGUAUUCCAGUUUAUAAGAGAAGUAUGUAAAGCAGGGUAAAUUUAUCCAUGAUAAGAGCCUAUAAGGAAAUCCAUUAAACCCACAGAUUUUAGUCUAUCAAUUCUAGUUGCUAAAAAGCAUUUUGUAAUUACCUUCUUAUUCUCAUCCAUGUCUCAAAAUGGAAAUAACAUUAGGUACAUGAGGUUUUAACAUAAUUUAUAUCAGUCUUCAUAACUUUUUUUUCUCUUAAGAAAAUCUAGUCUUUCUGAAUUUUUUAAACCACUUUAUUGAGGUCUGAUUGACAUGUAAAACGCUAUACAUAUUUAAUGUAUACAACUCAACGAGUUUGGGGAUAACUAUACACCGUGAAGCCAACACCACCACAGUCUUCUUGAAUUUCAUUUUAUACUAUCUGCUGAUCAGAUCCUUCUUAAAAGUAUCUUAAGUUCAUAUCAGUUAUUCUAAAAUUAAUAUUAAUGAGAUAUGUUGAAAUAUUUUAUCUUCAUUUCUGAGCUUUAGUUAAUUUUACAUUUAUUACUCUCAUUAAAUUUUGGGUCUUUCUUCCAUUACUUAGGAAACAAUGUUAUAACUUUAUAAUAACUUCCACCAAGAUUUAGAACCUCUUUAACAUCUUUAGCUGUUGCUGAUCCUAACCAAAAAAGACUAUCUUCUCUAGAUGAUUAUUAGUAUUAACAAGAUUCUCAUUAAGACUCAAAGGCAUCAAAUUAUUCAACUUGUCACAACAUCAGUCCUUAUAAAAUACUUCAAAAAUCCAUACAUGGUCUAUCAAUCUAAAUUCCAAAUAAAAUUAAAUUUCUAAUGUGAAGAGAUUUUCAACUUUUUAAAUUGUUGGGCCCAUUAUGAAAUGUUGAAAAUUUUAAGUUUGCCUUGUAAUCAGGAGUAAAUUAGGGAAGAAUUUUUGAAAUUUAGAUAAAGCCAUCAAAAAAUAAAGUUUAAACAUGAUUAACAUGCUUACAAUGGGUCACAUUAACAGCAACUUAACAUUAAAUUAGAUGUUAUCUUAAGAACAGAAUACAUUGAGAUAAAUAAACUGAACAAAAAUAAGCAGGAUUUCAUCCCUUCACACAAAAUCUCUAUUCCAUGCAGAGAUCAAAUAAAUUUCCACAUAUAAAAAGAUAAAGAAAAAGGAUAAACAAAAGGCAGGAAAAACACUAAAGCCCAUAAAAAGCUCUCCCUCCACUUACAAAAACAUUGACACUACAUAGGUAACAAUGCCAACAUCACUUCUAAAUUCCAUUUAGUUUAAUUCAAGUUUCAAUUUCACCUACCUUUCGUCUCUGAGAGAUGUUGAGGGCACCAAAGUCAUUAAACAAGGAUGAAGCAGGUGAUGUUAGAGGAUCUGAAAGGUAAGUUACGUAAGUUUCCACACAUAAAACUUGGGUAACCCGCAAAUCUAAUAACUGUUUAAUUUGACAAUGCCUAUAAAAAUCAAAUGACACAAUAAUUAAACUUAGUACCUAACACACAGUUAUGUUCAAAUAUUUUCUGAGCAAAUAAAACACAAACUGGUGAACCAAUUUGCUCAAAUAUUCAAAAGCUAUAUGGAUCAGGAUAGAUCUAUUUGACUAGAACCAAAAGAAAAAUCAAAUAAGAGAAAAAAACCUCUUAACCAUACUAUUGUGAGUGUGUUUAUGAAGGCAGUAAGUUGACCUAAAGUAAAUAAAGGUUUAUAAUCUUGAGACCAUAUCUUGGGAAGGAUAAAAAGGAGGGUGAGGGGUGGGGGCAGUGUCAACCAUAGACUCUGAGAGAUCCUGUCUUGGAUUUCAACACAUCAGCAAGGCUUUAAAACCAUUUACUCUGCAAACUAUUCCAUAUUUUAAAGUCUAUCACCAGAUGUUUGAUAUUAUUACUAAAAAGAUAAAGUAAAAUAUUAAGUUAAGACAGAAAUAAUAAAGUUUUUCAAAAUUUAUUUCAAACAUGAAAUCCAAAGAUUUUGUAGGUUCAAAAUUCCACUACUCUGUAGAAAGAAGUUACAAAUAAAAUUAUAUAUCUUAAUUAUUUCUCACUUUACAAAUGAGAAGAGUCUCUGAAAAGGCAUGUGUGAGAUAUACUUAAAUAUUUAUCUUCAUUUCUGAGCUUUAAUUUUUUAUUUAUUAAUCUCAUUACAUGUUCUGCUAAAUCCUAAAAAAUAUAUUAAAUGCCCUUACGUAAAGGAACCUUAAAUCUCUUCACAAUGUAGUACAUAUAGACUGCUGCUUCAUUUCUCUGCCUUCUUCUUCCUGGUUUUUCAGACUUACCUUCAUUAAAAUUAACAUGAAUUUAAUAUUAAAUAACUAAUAGUGCAAAGAGCAAGAUGUUAAUAAAAUAGCAUGUUGAAAUUUUUGUAUAUAACUUAUACACUUUUCUUUUUUUUUUUAAUAAUAGAGACAUGGUCUUGUUAUAUUGCCCAAGUUGGUUUCAAACUCCUGGGCUCAAUCAUUCCUCCCACCUGAGCCUCCCAAAGUGCUGGGAUUACAGGCAUGAGCCACCACACCUGGCCUGGAAUCUAAAUCUCAAUAGUUAGAUCUGAGUGGGAAGAUAAUAAUUUUUAUUUUCUUCUUUAUGCCCGUUUACAAUUUUCAAAAUUUCUACAAUGGUUGUAUAUUACUUUUAGAGUAAGAAAUAUAUACACAGACACACAUAAGCAAAAGGGAUCAGGUCUUACCAUGGGCUGAAUAUGGCUUGGCACUGUCAUUUAGAAGGCUUGGGGAGCUGCUACUAUUAGUCAUUCUCUGAAAAACAAAAUAUUUAUUUAUAACAUCACUGAGGAAUACAGAAAUAAAAGUAUCCAACCAAUUAAGACUGGCUCUCUUUGCUUCUUCCCCUCCAAUCUACUGUUCACAUUACUGACAAUCUAAUCUUCCUGUAAGUGUUACUGCUUGGAUUACAACUAUGUAAAAACCACCACAUGAAAUGAAAAUUUUACUCACUACCCAGGUAUUCAAAGCCAAAGCUACAGACCUAUUUUGAAUUGUGCUUCCAUAACUUAUUAGCCUGGGCAAAACACAUAACUAAGUUUCCUUGUCUGUAAAACAUAAAUUCCAAUAUCCACUGAAGAGGGUACCCGUUGACUAUGAAUAAAAUGAGUAAAUGCUCUAAUACCCUUUCUCCAUUUGUACUACCAUUCAUACACCUUAUAGAGCUUAUAAAAUUAGGUAUUUUCUGUUCUCUAAACACGUUCUAUGCUUUCUAGACUCACUCCAUAGCCUGUAUGGUCUCUCCAUCCUGUAAGGCCCUUCAUCCCAUGCCCACAAAUCCUUGUCUCAUAUGUAACUUCUAACUCAAUGCCUUAAAAAUUAUAAGUUAAGAAUUUCUAGCUCUGGCUUUAAUUCUAGAGUCCUGAAUCUGUUUACUCAACUUCUUAUUUAAUGUCUGCAUAAUUUUAAAAGAGAAGAAAAAAGCUAAGCUCCUGAGGUAAUUUUAAUACAAAAAUAUAUAUUAAAAAGUACCUGAAAUUGUGGCUCACAGGCAGUUAAAAUAAGGUAUAACUAUGCAUUAAACUAGUUAUAUUGUUCAUAAAACAUAACCAUUUCUAUAUAUGGCUGUGCAUGUUUCUUUAUAAACAACCCUUAGAGUGCAUAUCUACACGAAAUAAGUUAAAAUAAUUCAAAAAAGCAUUGGUUUCAUACAAACCCUUAAAAUCAGUCCAACUUGAAGUAUAAACACUAGGCCAGGAGUGGUGGCUCAUGCCUGUAAUCCCAACGUGUAAUACCUCCUUUGGGAGGCCACGGCAGGAGGAUCACUUGAGACCAGGAGUUUGAGACUAGCCUGGGCAACACAGACCUCAUCUCUGCUAAAAUUAUUUUUAUUAGCCAGGCAUGGUGGCACACACCUGUAGUCCUACCUACUCAGGA